rnacentral:ncRNA from 1 species
UUCUUAUCCAGAGAGAUCGAGGGACAGGCCCUAUGACAUCUCGGCAACAGGUUCAUGACCAAUGAACACUGUGCCAACUCCUACAGACGCGUAUGCGUUUGGAAGAUGAGAA